GAUGAACGCUAGCUACAGGCUUAACACAUGCAAGUCGAGGGGUAACGAGAGGAAAGCUUGCUUUCCUUGUCGACGACCGGCGCACGGGUGAGUAACGCGUAUCCAACCUGCCCCCAACUAAGGAAUAACCUUGCGAAAGUAAGACUAAUACCUUAUAAUUUCCUCAGAUGUCAUCUGACGAGGAAUAAAGAUUUAUCGGUUGUGGAUGGGGAUGCGUCUGAUUAGCUUGUUGGCGGGGUACCGGCCCAACAAGGCAACGAUCAGUAGGGGUUCUGAGAGGAAGGUCCCCCACAUUGGAACUGAGACACGGUCCAAACUCCUACGGGAGGCAGCAGUGAGGAAUAUUGGUCAAUGGGCGGAAGCCUGAACCAGCCAAGUAGCGUGCAGGAUGACGGCCCUAUGGGUUGUAAACUGCUUUUAUACAGGAAUAAAGUUAGCCACGUGUGGUUAUUUGUAGGUACUGUAUGAAUAAGGACCGGCUAAUUCCGUGCCAGCCGCCGCCGUAA
rnacentral:rRNA from 1 species